AUCCGAUAAUUUGAUAUCAUUUUGUUGCCGAUGAUGUUACUUGAAAUUUUAUUCAUUAAAACGCAGGUGACCGGAAAACAAUAAUCUGUCAGAAACGUAUCUCAGAAUAACCUAGCUGGUCUUGUUCCUACAAGCAACAACUUUUCAAGGUUUCCACCUGAAAGUUUCAUAGGAAAUCCUGGUCUUUGCGGCCAUUGGCUCAACUCUCCUUGCCAUGAUUCCCAUCCAGCGGAGCGAGGUAUACACACAGAGACGGAGGCAUGUUAAAGGCUUGCUGUGCUAUAGCCUCACUCAAUUUCUAAAGCAGCAAUACUGGGGAUUGCACUUGGAGCCCUUGUGAUUCUUCUCAUGAUCUUAGCAGCAGCUUGUCGGCCACAUAAUCCAUUACCUUUUUCAGAUGUGUCGCUUGACAAACCAGGCAUUCUCUCUUUAUUUUAUCAUAGUAUGCAAACCAUGUUUGAUGAUUUUUAACUAUGGCGGAGUUUCGUCAAUCUGAACUCUGCUAAAAGUCCCACUAGAGGAAAAAAUUAGUGUUCCUCAAGUUUAAACCGAAAUAUCUGAGCAAGUUCAAUAUCUUACUUUUGGAGGUAAUUUUGAGGGGUGAAGAAAACUAAACAUAAAUUAGAGAAGUAAAAAAAUCGAUAAAAAGCAAUUACAUACUAUUCAAUUUGUUUAUUUGCCUUCAUAAAGUUCGAUCUCCCUGCACUUGAAAAUUAUGCUUGGCUGCUAACUUGUGUUUGUUGAACAAACAGUUAAUUACUCAAAGCCAAAGUUGGUGAUCCUUCACAUGAAUAUGGCUCUCCAUGUGUAUAAGGAUAUUAUGAAGAUGAUUGAGAAUUUGAGUGAGAAGUACAUAGUUGGUCAUGGUGCCUCAAGCACUGUUUACAAAUUUUUCCUAUUAAGAGGCUCUAUUCUCAUUUUCUUCAGUGCUUGAAGGAAUUCAAGACAGAUCUUGAGACAGUACGGAGCAUCAAGCAUCAAAAUCUAAUCAGCCUUCACUGAUACUCCCUGUCAUCUUAUGGGGACCUUCUUUUCUAUGAUUAUAUGGAAAAUGGAAGUCUCUGGGAUCCUCAUCAUCAUGGUCCGACAAAGAAGAAAAAGGCUGACUGGUAUACGCGCCUUCGGAUAGCACUUGGAGCAGCUCAAGGGCUAGCAUAUUUACAUCAUGAUUGUAGUCCUCGCAUAAUUCACAGGGAUGUUAAGUCAUCAAACAUUCUAUUAGACGAAGAUUUCGAGGCCCAUCUCACUGAUUUGGGGAUUCCCAAGCGUUUAUGUGUGUCCAAAUCCUAUACUUCUACGUUCUACCUCCAUAACGGGAACGAUUGGUUAUAUAGACCCUGAGUAUGCCCGCAUUUCCCAUCUUACAGAGAAGUCUGAUGUGUCAGCUACGGGAUUGUUCUACUUGAAGUGCCAACUUGGAGGAAAGCAGUUGACAACGAAUACAAUCUUCAUCAUCUUGUGUGUCUUCUAUCCAUCCUUGAUACUGUCCAAGACAGCUAACAAUGCUGCCAUGGAAACUGUUGAUCCUGAGAUUUCACCUGUAAAGAUCUUGGAGCGGUAAAGAAGGUUUUUCAACUUGCCCUCCUAUGCACCAAGAGACGGCCAGUAGACCGCCCGACCAUGAAUGAAGUGGGACGUGUUCUAGGGAGCCUUGUCCCACAUGACCCCCACCAAAACAAAGCACCGCAGCUCCACCUGCCCUACUCCCAUCUAACAAAGUGCCCUGCUACAUGGAUGAGCAUGCAAACAUCAAGAAUGCACACAUUUUACAUUGUCCCUCCAUGAGCACUUCAGAUGCCGAGCUAUUCCUGAAGUUUGGUGAGGUAACAUCCUAAAACAGUCAAUGAAAGAGAGUGUGAAAAUAUGAACCCAAACCAGUAUUGAAUUUGAGGCUUUUCGUCCUUUUGUUGGGGGUGUUAGUAGAUGAUCAGUUAGUGGCAAUUGUGUACAAAGCUUUGGAAUCCAAUUAUUGUACUUGCUACUUUAUUAGGAAUUUUGAAGUGUUGCAGUUGCAAGCUCUUA